UACGAAGGUGGCAAGCGUUGUUCGGAUUUACUGGGCGUACAGGGAGCGUAGGCGGUUGGGUAAGCCCUUCGUGAAAUCUCCGGGCCUAACCCGGAAAGUGCGGAGGGGACUGCUCGGCUAGAGGAUGGGAGAGGAGCGCGGAAUUCCCGGUGUAGCGGUGAAAUGCGUAGAGAUCUGGAGGAAGGCCGGUGGCGAAGGCGGCGCUCUGGAACAUUUCUGACGCUGAGGCUCGAAAGCGUGGGGAGCAAACAGG
rnacentral:rRNA from 1 species